rnacentral:rRNA from 1 species
AUUGAACGCUGGCGGCAGGCCUAACACAUGCAAGUCGAGCGGAUGAAGGGAGCUUGCUCCUGGAUUCAGCGGCGGACGGGUGAGUAAUGCCCAGGAAUCUGCCUGGCAGUGGGGGAUAACGACCGGAAACGGGCGCUAAUACCGCAUACGUCCUGAGGGAGAAAGUGGGGGAUCUUCGGACCUCACGCUAUCAGAUGAGCCUAGGUCGGAUUAGCUAGUUGGUGGGGUAAAGGCCUACCAAGGCGACGAUCCGUAACUGGUCUGAGUGGAUGAUCAGUCACACUGGAACUGAAACACGGUCCAGACUACUACGGGAGGCAGCAGUGGGGAAUAUUGGACAAUGGGCGAAAGCCUGAUCCAGCCGUGCCGCGUGUGUGAAGAAAGUCUUCGGUUUGUAAAGCACUUUUAGUUGGGAGGAAGGGCAGUAAGUUAAUACCUUGCUGUUUUGACGUUACCAACAGAAUAAGCACCGGCUAACUUCGUG